UCCUGUGUGGCUCAGUUGGUAGAGCGUGGUGCUUGAAACGCCAGGGUUGUGGGUUUGAUUCCCACGGGGGGAC
rnacentral:tRNA from 1 species